UUUGUCCCAUCGAGCCGCCGCCAGCCAUUUCCCCUCGGGAUUCAUCCCCACCUACCAGCAUCCAACCCCUGAUCCAAAAAUCCUCUCAUCCUCCAACCCGUAGCCCUCCACCCUUCGAUCUCUCCCCACGAACCAGCGUCUCCCCCGAUCCCCUCGUCCACCUCCCGCAGCCUCCCGCGGCACUCGAUCCAUUCUGGAUCGAGGCAACAACCACGAUCGAGGCAGCCACCUCGCCCGAGCCUCCUUCCAGGGAAGUCGAGGACCACCUCAUCCCCAACCAGCAUCGCCCCCGACCGCCAUCAGCUGCCUGCUUUGGGCACCCCUGUGCCACGAGUGUCUGAGGCUGCAGCCUCCUUGUCUAGGACCACUCCACCAUCGUUUCCGGUUGCCUCGCCGGAGCAAGCUCCACCGGCGACCAGAGCCACCUCGUGUCGCAGCCUCCUUUGUUUCUCCUCGCGCUCGAGACCUCAUCCCCGCCGACAACCAUAACCAGGCCGCCGCCCUCACCUGCGCCCCUUCUUCUCCUUCCCUGCCUUCUACUCCCUCCUCUACUCUAAUCCCCCCCUCUCUCUCUCCUUCUCCUGCUUCUGCAGGAACCAAUGGAGCUCUGCCCCGACACCAUGGACAGGAGUCGCCGCUCCCAAGUUCCACCUCGUGCGGGCUUGCCAGGUCCCAAGCCGCACCGGAUCUGGAGGGGAUCACCGCCGCCGCGACUUUUCUCGAUCCCCACGACCUCCUCCGGCCCCGUUCCAGUCGAAGGCCGCCGUCGUCGCUCUAGUUCGGCGUGACCAGUUCGUUUGCCUCGCGUCUCGUCCUCGUUGCAGGGAGGAGGAACGCCCGCGCCCAGUCCGUCUUCGAGCCAAGCCGCCGCGCUGGAGCUUCUUCACUGUCCAGGAACCAGGAGCUCAAGCCCCUCCGUGGCCGCGCCCGACCUGCGCGACCCCGCCGACUGGAUCUGCUCGUCCCCGCCGUUGCCGUGCCGCCACACCGCCAUUGCAACUCCCGUCGGCCGCCGCUAAUGUCUCUGCUUCACGCACGCGCCGGUCAAACCACUGGCUCGACCCCUCCUGAUCGCGCAUUGACCUCCAGCGCCCCCCAAGGCCCAGCCUAGCACCAGAUCUGGCCCAAGGCCGCUGGGUGAGGCCACACCCCAGCGCCCCUCCUCUGUUUUUCCUCCUAUUGGGCCAGAUUGAUUCGGCCCGUCAUGUUUUUUCCCUGUCCAGCGUUUUUAGCAUUUAUCCUGAGAUAACAGAUUUGCAGAAAAGUCCCUCUA